rnacentral:lncRNA from 1 species
UGGAUUUUUUUGGUGCAUUUUCGAAUCGACAACCCAUUCCUUAAAAAAAGGGGGAAUCUAUCUUGGUUUAUGGAAAAAAUAAUCAACUUAUUUGCGAAAAAUCAAACUUGCCCUCCAAUGCCCAGGAUCCUGAUCUGAAUUAAAUGUAGGCUUACUGCAUAUUGAAAAAGAUGACGAUACAAGUAAGGAAACUGAAGACAGUGACAAGGAGAUUUUAAAUAUUUACGCUAUCAAUGGCAAAUGUCUUUGUAACUUUUAUUUAAAUGUGUAUCUAUAAAGUUUAUAAUACAAUUUGUAACUGAAAAUAUGGUGAGAUUGGGAUUGUUAUAAUGUUUGAUAACGUAUUAUCAACAUUUUGUUUUAAUUUAAAGGGGGGAGGGGUCUGACUUAAUUUUUCCGGGCAGAAAUUGGUUGUUACCAGUCUUGGUUUUUCAUGAUGUCCUAAGAUAGUACUAUACAUUGAUGCAAGUUUUGUCUGUGUACUUUAUGGGGUGAAAUAACCCUUAAAUUCGACGUUUUUGAGGCGACUUGGGGGAGGGGGGACCUCACUUUUCUGAUGGAAUUUUUGGUCAGUCUUGGUUUUUUAUGAUGUCCUGAAAUAAUACUACUAUAUAUUGAUGCAGGUUUUGUUCAUGUUCAUAAAAUCCGUUCAGAGGCUAUUUUCAGGAGGAUCUGGAGGUCACACACAAAAAAAAAUCUAGAGGAUAUUAGUAACUUCAGGGAAUCAAACCUUCUGUACCUUAUGGGGUGAAAUCUUACUUGGAAGGCUCUCGAACUAUCAAUAUAUGUAGAGCGUUUUCAUGAAACGUCAGGAUGGUCAAAGUUUUAUAGAAAUAAAAACCCUUUCUUCAUUAAUAUUUAUAAAUAUGAGCUAGCUAUUAGAUGUCAAAAUGGAACCAACAAAUAAAAUGACUUUAGCCUUACUUUUUAUCAAAAA